rnacentral:rRNA from 1 species
CUGGCUCAGAACGAACGCUGGCGGCGUGCUUAACACAUGCAAGUCGAACGCGAAAGGGACUUCGGUCCUGAGUAAAGUGGCGCACGGGUGAGUAACGCGUAGAUAACCUGUCUUCAUGUCUGGAAUAAUACGCCGAAAGGGGUACUAAUACCGGAUAUUCUUGCUUUUCAUAAGUUAUGCAAGCAAAGGUGGCCUCUGCAUAUGCUACUGCAUGAAGAGGGGUCUGCGUACCAUUAGCUAGUAGGUGGGGUAAUGGCCUACCUAGGCGACGAUGGUUAGCGGGUCUGAGAGGAUGAUCCGCCACACUGGCACUGGAACACGGGCCAGACUCCUACGGGAGGCAGCAGUGAGGAAUAUUGCGCAAUGGGGGAAACCCUGACGCAGCGACGCCGCGUGAGUGAGGAAGGCCUUCGGGUCGUAAAGCUCUGUCAAGAGGAAAGAAGUGUACAAUGGCUAAUACCUGUUGUAUUUGACGGUACCUCUAAAGGAAGCACCGGCUAACUCCGUGCCAGCCGCGGC